AUGGAGAUGGAGAAGGAGUUCGAACAAAUCCACAAGGCCGGGAACUGGGCAGCCAUUUACCAGGAUAUUUGACAUGCAGCCAGUGACUUCCCAUGCAGAGUGGCGAAACUUCCUAAGAACAAAAACCGGAACAGGUACCGGGAUGUCAGCCCCUUUGAUCAUAGUUGAAUUAAAUUGUACCAGGAAGAUAAUGACUACAUCAACGCCAGUUUGAUAAAAAUGGAGGAAGCCCAGAGGAGCUAUAGUCUCACCCAGGGCCCUUUGCCAAACACAUGUGGGCACUUCUGGGAGAUGGUGUGGGAGCAGAAGAGCAGGGGUGUGGUCAUGCUCAACCACAUCAUGGAGAAAGGCUCGUUAAAAUGUGCCCAGUAUUGGCCACAGAAAGAAGAAAAAGAAAUGGUCUUUGAUGACACAGAUUUGAAAUUGACACUGAUAUCUUAAGAUGUCAAGUCAUUUUACACAGUGCGACAGCUGGAGCUGGAAAACCUGGCUACCCAAAAGGCCCUGGAGAUCCUGCAUUUCCACUAUACCACAUGGCCUGACUUUGGAGUCCCCAAGUCUACUGCCUCCUUCCUCAAUUUCCUUUUCAAAGUCCAAGAGUCAGGCUCCCUCAGCCCGGAGCAUGGCCCCAUCGUGGUGUACUGCAGCGCUGGCACCGGCAGGUCGGGGACCUUCUGUCUGGCUGAUAUCUGCCUCUUGCUGAUGGACAAGAGGAAAGACCCCUCGUCUGUGGAUAUUAAAAAAGCGCUUCCGGAGAUGCGCAGGUUUCGCAUGGGGCUCAUCCAGAUGGCCGACCUGCUGUGCUUCUCCUACCUGGCUGUGAUCGAGGGUGCAAAGUUUAUCAUGGGCGACUCCUCAGUGCAGGAUCAGUGGAAGGAGCUCUCUCAUGAGGACUUGGAGCCCCCACCCGAGCAUGUCCUCCCAACUCCCCGGCCACUCAAAUGCAUCCUAGAUCCUCACAAUGGGAAAUGCAAGGAACUCCUCUCCAACCACCAGUGGAUGAGCAAGGAGACCUGUGAGAACGAAGACAGCCUGGCCAGAGAGGAAGGUAGAGACCCCUUAAGUGCUAUGCAUAGCAUGAGCAGCAUGAGUCAAGACAUUGAAGUUAGAAAACGAAUGGUGGCUGGAGGUCUUCAGGGCACCCAGGCAUCUGUUCCCACCAAGGAAAAGCCGUCCCCAACGGAUGAGGAACAAAAGGCACACUGGCUGACUCACUGGAAGCCCUUCCUGGUCAACGUGUGCAUGGCCACGGCCCUGGCGACUGGUGCGUACCUCUGCUACCGGGUGUGCUUUCACUGACAGACUGCUGUGACG